GAUGAACGCUGGCGGCGUGCCUAAUACAUGCAAGUCGAGCGAACAGACGAGGAGCUUGCUCCUCUGACGUUAGCGGCGGACGGGUGAGUAACACGUGGAUAACCUACCUAUAAGACUGGGAUAACUUCGGGAAACCGGAGCUAAUACCGGAUAAUAUAUUGAACCGCAUGGUUCAAUAGUGAAAGACGGUUUUGCUGUCACUUAUUGAUGGAUCCGCGCCGCAUUAGCUAGUUGGUAAGGUAACGGCUUACCAAGGCAACGAUGCGUAGCCGACCUGAGAGGGUGAUCGGCCACACUGGAACUGAGACACGGUCCAGACUCCUACGGGAGGCAGCAGUAGGGAAUCUUCCGCAAUGGGCGAAAGCCUGACGGAGCAACGCCGCGUGAGUGAUGAAGGUCUUCGGAUCGUAAAACUCUGUUAUUAGGGAAGAACAAAUGUGUAAGUAACUAUGCACGGCUUGACGGUACCUAAUCAGAAAGCCACGGCUAACUACGUG
rnacentral:rRNA from 1 species